AAAAAUCAAAAUAUAUAUACAGUAAGAUGUUUCGACAAGCCACUAAGAAUAAUAAUUACAAUUUUUAGAAAUCUAUUAUCAAUAUAAUUACAACAUUUAUAAUUAAUUCAUAGUAUAACCACACUAUUAUGAUUAACAAUAUCUAUAUACUACUUAGCUAGAACAGAAACCAACAAUCACACACUUUAUAAUAUCCAACAUCCAACAUGAUAAAAAAAAGGUGACGCCAUGACAUAAUCAAGUGGAAUUUUACCACACAAAAAAAAAACUCUUAGAAACAAAAUUUAGCAAACCAAUAAUAAUAUAUUUACACUAUAAUAAGAGUUAAAGUUAAAUAAGAAAUGUUGAGUUAACAGUAACUUUACUACUACCAUUAACAUAUAGAAAAACGUAACCAACAUUAAAUUGAGUGAAGGUAGAAUUAUUCCUUACUUAAACUUCCUCUCUCUGAGCGAAUUCUUCCAGAUUUAAAAAGGAAAAUAUGGACAGAAGAGAUUCCAGUGCAAAAUCUUCAACUUCGUUGGUGUUGUUGUGUUGGUUUUGAAAGGAUAUCAUAUGG
rnacentral:lncRNA from 1 species